GUCACUCUUGAGAUCUAGCCACACAACAACCUUUGUCAGAGAGGUAUCCCUCCCCAGUAAGUAACUAAAGCCUUUAAUCCUAUGACCAAGCUCACUCCUGGACAUAUACUAGUCAGUGUCUAGUGAUACCUGCCCUCCAACCAAAGGAAGAUUUCACUUUUAUGUUGAAGUCACUGAGGCAAAGGUCCCCUUUUCCAAUGAGGGAAAGCAUUUUAAAAGAUAGAGCCCCAAAAUUGAAGGCCUAGAGCACCUAUCUUUGGCAUCACCUUUCCUUUGAACCUGGCUAAUGCUUUAGUUGCUUAUUUGUUUUAGAGCCAAAAACCAAAAGACAAAUGAAUGUGAGUCAAGUGCAUGUGGUUGCUUGCCCUCUUUCCUACUCUUUGAGUGGAAGUUAGAGAAGAGGAAGAAAGAAGUCAGUUUUGCAACCAAACGCAUUCCAAUGUUCUUUUCCAGUUUAUAGAAAAGACCAUAGAAGAGUAGCUAGAUGGUCUCAGUGGAAAGAGACAAGUCCUAGGUUCAAAUCUGGCCUCAGAUACUUCCUAACUGUGUGAUUCUGGGCAAUCCACUUAACCCCAAUUGCCUAGCUCUUACCACUCUUCUGCAUUAGAAUUGAUCAUUUCAUAUCAAUUCUAAGGCAGAAGAUGAAGGUUUAAAAAAAAAGCCAAAGAGAUAAAUGCCAAUGAGCCAAGAUACAACAAAAUAAAGUUUCAGACUAAUUUAGGUGGCAAGUAAUUCUUGAUGUCUAGGGCUUUGUUCUUCAAAGAAAAGUCAUAGGAUAGAUUGAGUGAAUUCCAGGAUUAGGAUCAGAGUCUCUAGAAUAACAUGUAAUUUUUAUCCUUUGGAGCAGGACUCACUUACAAGACAGCUCUGUGCUGCUGAGAAGAUCCAAGAGCUGAUAGAAAAGGAGGAGAAAGUGGGUAAGCUAACGGAAGAGAAUGACAUUCUCCGGGAUGCACUGAAACAUUGUACCUUGCAGUUGGAGUCAGCUGCAAACAAGCUUGCAGCUGCUGAGGAGGCAAUAGAGGUGAAGGAAAAUGAGGUGAGCGUUACAAAGAAUUAAACGUGGGGAAAUCAUUCAUCAGAUUGCCAGGUUUCAUAGGGAAGCUCUCACUCUUGUGGAAAGAAAAUUAAUCCUGGUAUCUCAGGUCACUUUAGAAUACUGGAGUGCCUCUAACAGAUUUCUCAAUGACUUGUCCUUUGGCUCUCAGUGUCUCAGUCCUCUUUGAACUCUAUUUUUUUAGAAUUUCAUCUUCACAUCAGCAUUUAUUAGUCUUCUCACUUCUCAAGCUCUUAGCAUGAAUUCUAGACUUUUUUAGUAACUAUCUUAUUUCCCCUGAAUUCUCAUUCCUUCACUUCUCCAGAUAGUCAAGUUAUCUUGACAGGAGACCAAAUAAUUUCAUUUUAGCAAUAGUCUCACCCCAGAGCCAUUUAUAAUGGGACAUUAUACAUCAUCCAGGCUUGAGUUUCUCAACAAACUAAUUCCUAGGGUCUGGUCUGUAAUGAUGGGAGAGACAGAGGGGGCUUUAAAAUGCUAGGACCAGGAUACCAGCUGCUGGAAGGGCCUGAUUAAGGUGUUGCAGCUUUCUCCUGCCUUCACUAAGGCUAAAUGGCCUUAAUGGAGUCUGGACCUGACCAGACUGCUGAGUCAACCCCUCUCAAACUUUUUUCUUUGCCUUUGAAAUUCUCCCUCAUAUUACAAACUUAGAGAACAGUCUUUUGUAAAACUAAAUGGCUACUUUAUUUCUUUGAAAAGAAAGGUAGAGGGGCCAUCUGGGUAGCUCAGUGAAUGGAGAGCCAGGCCUAGAGACGGAAGGUCCUAGGUUCAAAUCUGGCCUCAGACACUUCCUAGAUGUGUGACCCUGGGCAAGUCACUUGACCCCCAUGGCCUAGCCCAUACCAUUCUUCUGCCUUUCAAGAUGGAAGGUAAGGUUUUAAUUUUUAAAAAAAAAGAAAAAGAAAGGAAAGAAGGGUAGAGGAAGAAAAGGGGUAGAGAUAAGGAUGGGAAAUUCCUAAUGACUUUUUCCCUAUCAACUGUUGAAGACUUUUUGUCACAAAGUCACUUCAAAGAAAUGGUUUGACUAAGGGAAAGUGAGUUUAAGUCAGCAGAGGUCUUGAGUGAGCAAGAACUUCUUUUGCUCAGCCAAGGCAGAAAAGGUAUUUGAAAAAGUCUCUGGUGAGAGUGUGUGUGUCCAGACCCCGUUUUCCUCCUUUGAAUCUUCCUUUGAAUUUCAUGGAAUUCUCUUCCCCUGCUGGCUCAUGAAUGUUCCAUCUGCCUCUCCUGGGUCCAUCUUCAUUACAUUUCAUAUUUUCUCUGCUUUUUGACCAAUUCUCUUGACUACAAUCCCCCAUUCUCUGCCCAUUAUGUAUACUCACCUGAAUGAUAUGCUAAUUUAUUCUGUCUAUUCUAUGAGAAUAUGACUAUUAUAAAUAUGUCACCACCCCCAAAAUAAAAAAAUCUUAAUCUAUCUUCA
rnacentral:lncRNA from 1 species